AGAUAAGGACACAGAUUUACAAGGAGGAACCAUUUCUGACACCUAUACAUUGUUGUGCCAUUGUUGAUUAGGAUAUACAAACAAUGGUUUGAUUAGUUCGCUGCAUCCUCCCUCAGGUGCACGUGCUGAAGAGAUGCAGCAACAACUAGUUGGUGCCAUUGGUGGUCAACACACAUCUUCUCCUGCUGCAGUAUGGUUGUCAUAUGCUUAUUGAGCACGCUGAUAUGCAUUGAUGCUCUGAAUUUAGCAGGCAAUAUCGACAGAUCAGUAGGAAAAAGUGACGGGCUACCUUCUGCACAUGCCUCAUUCAAUGUGAACUGGAGUUACUUGACACAAAGCUGGCCAAACAAGAUGUAGCUACAAACAAAAGGUGUUAAAUGGUUCCAUUCUGCCGGGAAGCAUUCAUCCAUGUAUACGGGUAAGAGUCUAGCUACAUUUUCCAGAUGAGAUGCUAAUUUAGUCAGAAAGUCAUUUCUAUUGCAAGUUAAUGCAUACUGUUAGUUAGCUAGCAAACUUUAGCUU
rnacentral:lncRNA from 1 species